GACGAACGCUGGCGGCGUGCUUAACACAUGCAAGUCGAACGGAAAGGCCCUGCUUUUGUGGGGUGCUCGAGUGGCGAACGGGUGAGUAACACGUGAGUAACCUGCCCUUGACUUUGGGAUAACUUCAGGAAACUGGGGCUAAUACCGGAUAGGAGCUCCUGCUGCAUGGUGGGGGUUGGAAAGUUUCGGCGGUUGGGGAUGGACUCUCGGCUUAUCAGCUUGUUGGUGGGGUAGUGGCUUACCAAGGCUUUGACGGGUAGCCGGCCUGAGAGGGUGACCGGCCACAUUGGGACUGAGAUACGGCCCAGACUCCUACGGGAGGCAGCAGGGGGGAAUAUUGAACAAUGGGCGGAAGCCUGAUGCAGCAACGCCGCGUGCGGGAUGACGGCCUUCGGGUUGUAAACCGCUUUCGCCUGUGACGAAGCGUGAGUGACGGUAAUGGGUAAAGAAGCACCGGCUAACUACGUG
rnacentral:rRNA from 1 species